rnacentral:rRNA from 1 species
UGCAGUCGAACGAAGAUCUUCGGAUCUAGUGGCGCACGGGUGCGUAACGCGUGGGAAUCUGCCCUUGGGUUCGGAAUAACAGUGAGAAAUUACUGCUAAUACCGGAUGAUGUCUUCGGACCAAAGAUUUAUCGCCCAAGGAUGAGCCCGCGUAGGAUUAGGUAGUUGGUGGGGUAAUGGCCUACCAAGCCGACGAUCCUUAGCUGGUCUGAGAGGAUGAUCAGCCACACUGGGACUGAGACACGGCCCAGACUCCUACGGGAGGCAGCAGUGGGGAAUAUUGGACAAUGGGCGAAAGCCUGAUCCAGCAAUGCCGCGUGAGUGAUGAAGGCCUUAGGGUUGUAAAGCUCUUUUACCAGGGAUGAUAAUGACAGUACCUGGAGAAUAAGCUCCGGCUAACUCCGUGCCAGCAGCCGCGGUAAUACGGAGGGAGCUAGCGUUGUUCGGAAUUACUGGGCGUAAAGCGCGCGUAGGCGGUUACUCAAGUCAGAGGUGAAAGCCCGGGGCUCAACCCCGGAACUGCCUUUGAAACUAGGUGACUAGAAUCUUGGAGAGGUCAGUGGAAUUCCGAGUGUAGAGGUGAAAUUCGUAGAUAUUCGGAAGAACACCAGUGGCGAAGGCGACUGACUGGACAA